GCGCUCCAUUAUCUCUGUGAUUAAUGUUAGACCUGCGGUGAGAGGUUUAUUGAAAGAGAAACCCCAACUGGAAGCAAACCAUGGCUAAAGAUGUGGGAAUAGCAACAAGUGAACUGGCCCGAGGACUGAGAGCAUCAACUGGAGAGAACAACACUGAAUCAGCUGACUUGGAGUUCCCAGUGAGUCAGUGAGGAGGAAGUUUGUUAGACCUGCAGUGAGAGGUUUAUUGGAAGAAAAACCCCAAAUGGAAGCAAACCACGACUGAAGACGGGAACAGCAAUAAGUGAACCAGCCUGAGGACUGAGAACAUAAACUGGAGAGAACAACUGCCUCAGGAGAAUCGGAGAUUCCAUUGAUUCAGUCAGGAGAAAGUUUGAGAGCUGGCAUCAAACUGACGGGCCGAGCGGUCUCCACCUCUCGGCGACACAUCACACUCUGGCCGCUUGAGACGCUUCACAAACGUCCCAACUUCCCUUGGAGGGAAAUGGAAAUAAAUCAAAAAAUGGACAUUUACUCCGCUGUGAUGUGGCCGGAGCGGGAGGCGAACAGAGCGGGGGAAAGGCCCCAUCGACUUGUCCACCUCUGCGACUGGUGGUAACAAGUGAUUGACAUCGCUUUGCACCAAUGGGAAUAGCGCAGCCCCGAAUCCUCUGUUGACAGCGGUGGGGGAGGGCUGGUCACGUGAUUAUUAGCCAAGCUAUUAAACUGAUAAAGCCCGAGCUCACCAGCGCAUGGAUGACGUAAGACGCUGUGCACGUAAGGGCAGAACCCGGUCUGGGAAGCCCAUGCGUGACGUCAGGCGCGAGGGGGGUCUGUGCGACAUCACCUGUGGGGAUGCGGUCUCAUUUAAAUGCACCUUAGUGCGUUUCUUAUGAUUUCAGAGGGACAACAACAUUAAUCACGGGUUUCAUUACUGAAUCCACUGUUGUGAGAUGUAAAGUCACCUGUUAUGUGUCUGGCUGGCACGUGUUGUUUUGGGGGCUAUUGAUUGAUUAAUUAUCUAUUUGAUUGGGCAUAUCCCUUUUGAUUUAUUUGUGUGUAGAAAUCAGCAGCAGUGGAUAUUGAUAAAUUUCUGUAGGUUGGAUGACUGAGUGAAUCCCUUCCCACGUACUUCCGCAUCCAGAUCAUCCACACUUGGUCUUCCUGGAAUCAUUCUUUGACACUUCUCCGGACCCACUCCAAUACGAGCACAUCUUUUGCUCAGAUAAUAAGACGUAAGUACAGUUCGGAAUCUGCUCACAAUGCACGAACAGUGAUCUGCCCAAUGCAUUAUAAAUCUAUCGUAUAGCAUCCUUGCUAACAUUGCAGUUGUCAUCCUUAAUCAACUCAAGCUACAAGCAACUCUUUAGGGCCUCUUGCUCAAGGACUUACAAGCACUUAUGCACCUCUAAUUGUUUCAAGUUUCUCCCAUUUAUUUUUACUCUACGCCCAAUUACUUAUACCAAAUGUACAUGACUUGCAUACACUGUAUUUCAACUGCUACUUUGCUGGCAUUCUCCAGACCUAUCGAAGUCCUUCUGCAGACUCCCGCUUUGCUCUAAACUACCUGUCCCGUACUGAUCUUUGUAUCAACUGCAAUGUUCGUCACUAAGGUAUCAAUGCCGUCAUCCAUAACAUUCAGAUUUAACAUGAAACGAUGCGGUCUCAAUACUGACCCCUACAGAACAGCACGAGUUACCGACAGCAAAACAGAAUUGCCCACAUUAUUCUGACUCUUUCUCCCUUGUCAGUACAAGUUUCUUCCCUGUAAUUCCAUGAGCUGUGAUCCUGUUAAGCAGCCUCACGUGGAGCACCUUAGAAACAUAGAAAACCUGCGGCACGUUACAGGCCCUUUGGCUCACAAAGCGAUGCCGAACAUGUCCUUGCUCUAGAAAUGCCAAGGGUUACCUACAGUUCUCUGUUUUUCUAAUUUCCGUGUACCUAUCCAGGAGUCUCUUAAAAGACCCUAUCGUGUCCGCCUCUACCACGAUUGCCGGCAGCCCAUUCCAAGCACUCACCAAUCUCUGUGUAAAAAACUUACCCCUGACAUCUCCUCUGUACCUUCUUCCAAGCAUCUUCAAACUAUGCCCUCGUGCUCGCAAUUUCAGCCCUGGGAAAAAGCCUCUAACUAUCCACACGAUCAAUGUCUCUCAUUUACUUGAAGACCUCUAUCAGGUCACCUCUCAUCCUCCAUCACUCCAAGGAGAAAAGACCGAUUUCACUCAACCUAUCCCUAUCCAAACAACAUCCUCGUAAAUCUCCUCAGCACCCUUUCUAUGGCUUCCACAUCCUUCCUGUAGUUUGGCGACCAGAACUGAGCACAGUACUCCACGUGGGGUCUGACCAAAGUCCAAUAUAGCUGCAACAUUACAUCUCGGCUUUUAAACUCAAGCCUGCGGAUGAUUAAGGUCAAUACGCAGUAUGGCUUCUUAACCACAGAGUCAACCUACAUAGCAGCUUUGCGUGUCCUAUGGACUCCGUCCCCAAGAUCUCUCUGUUCCUCCACACUGCCAAGAGGCUUACCAUUAAUACUAUAUUCUAUCAUAUUUGACCAAAGCAAAUGACAAACAUCACACUUCUUUGGGUUGUACUCCAUUUGCCACUCUUCAGCCCAGGUUUGCAGACUAUCAAUAUCCCCCUGCAAUCUAACCCAACCUUUGUGUCAUCAGCAAAUUUACUAACCCAUACCUCCACUUCCUCAUCCAGGUCAUUUAUAAUAGUCACGAAGGGUAGGGGACCCAGAACCGAUCCCUGAGGCAGACCACUGGUCACCGACCUCCAUGCAGAAUAUGACCAGUCUGCAACCACUCUUUGUCUUCUGUGAGCAAGCCCGUUCUGGAUGCACAAAGCAAUGUGCCCUUGGAUCCCAUCCCUCCUUACUUUCUCAAUAAGCCUUGCAUGAGGUACCUUGUUGAAGAUCAUCUGAAAAUCCAAGCAAACAACAUACACUGCCUCUGCUUUAUCUAUCUUGCCUGUUAUUUCCGAAAAUAUUCCAGGAGAUUUGUCAGUCAAGAUUUCCUCGAAAGAAUCCUGCGGACUUUGGCCUACUUCAUCAUGUUUCCCCAAUUACAGUACCCAAAAAACACACUCUUAGUACACUCUAACAUCUUCCUGACCACUAAGGUCAGACUAACUGUCCAAUAAUUUUCCUCUUAAAUUGUGGAGUGGCAUUUGCAAAUUUCUGGUCCACCAGAACCGUUCCAAAAUCUAGUGAUUUGUGAUAGAUCAUUACUCAUUGCCAGAGCAAGUGGCAGGGACGAUUGUAAUCUUCAAGAGAAGUUUGCUUAGGUCACUGGAUGAGAAGCAUAUGGAGGGCGAUGGUCCAGGUGGAAAUUGUUGGAACUCGGAAGAUUAAUGCUUUAGCACGGACUAGACUGGCCGAAUGGCAUUUUCCUGGGUUGUAGUGUUUUAUGAGUCUAAUGCCUUCACAAUCUCUUCAGCUAACUCUUUCUGAACUCUGCGGUGUCUUAUCUACCUUCAGGCCUUUCAGCUUCAAAAACAUCUUCUCUCCUUGGUAAAAGAAUGUAUCCUAACUUCUGCCCCAGGUACUGCUGAAUGUUUGGUAUUUAUGUAAUAAAUUUAAUGACACAACUGUAGUGGGUGACUUCAAUCUGCAGGAGGAUCGGGAAAGUCAGAUUGGCGUUAAAUCGCAAAAGAGGGGAUGUGUUGAAUGCAAACGAAAUGGCUUUUUAGAGCAGCUGAUGGUUGAGCCUACUCGGGGAACUGCUAUCUUACAUUGGGUGUUGUGUAAUAACCCAGAUCUUAUUCGGCAGGUUAACGUAAAGGAACCAUUAGAAGGCAGUGAUCAUAAUAUGAUUGAAGUCCUGCUGCAAUUUGUGUGGCAGAAGCACAGGUCACAUGUGUAGUAUCGCAAUGGAAUGAAAGGGAAUUACAGAGGCGUGAGAGAGGUGAUUUCCCAGGUGGAUUGGAGGAUGCUGGUGGAGAUGACGCCAGAGCAGAAAUGGCUGACGUUUCUGGGAAUAGUUCAUAAUGUACAGGAUAGAUAUAUUCCACAGACGUAGUUCUCAAACAGCGGGGCUAGGCUAUCGUGGCUGACAAAGGAAGUUAAGAACUGUAUAAAAGCAUAUAAGGUAGCAAAAAUGAGUAGUAGGUUGGAUAACUGGGUAGCUUUUAACAUCCAACAACAGGCAAAUUAAAAAUAAAAGCUGUAAGGGGAAAGGUGAAAUAUGACAGCAAACUAUACAAUAAUAUAAACCAGUUAUAAAAUAUAUGAAAGGGAGGCGAGAGUUGAUAUUGGACCACUGGAAAAUGAUGCUCAAGGGGUACAAAUGGGGAAGAGAUGGUAGAUGAACUUGAUAGGUACUUUGCAUCCGUCUUGUCUGUGGAAGACACCACCAGUGUGCCAGAGAUCCGUGAGUGUCAGGGAACAGGAGUGAGUGCCAUUGCUUUUACAAAGGAAAACGUGCUAGGCAAACUCAGAUUCUUAAAGUGGAUAAGUCACCUGGACCAGAUGGACUACAUCCCAGAGUCCUGAGAGAGGCUGCUGGAGAGAUAACAGAUGCAUUGGUCAUGACACGUCAAGAAUCACUUGAUUCUGGCAUGGUCCCGGAGGACAGGAAGAUCGCAAAUGCCAAUCCACUCUUUGGGAAGGGAGGAAGGCAAAGUAAAGCAAAUUAUAGUCCAGUUAGCCUAACCUCAGUGGCUGGGAAAGUGUGGAGUCAUGAUAACAGUUGAGGUUUUGGUGUACUAGGAGACUAAUGAUAUAAUGUCAAAGCCAGCUUGGUUCUAUACAGGGAAAUCUUGCCUGACAAGUCUGUUACAGAUCUUCGAGGAAGCCAUAAGCAGGAUGGACAAACGAGAGGCAGUGGAUAUCAUUUACUUGGAUUUUCAGAAAGCUUCCGAUAAGGUGUCACACAUGAAACUGCUUAACAGGAUAAAAGUCAGAAGUAAUACUGGCAUGGAUAGAGGAAUGGCUGACAGCCAAGAGGCAGUGAGUGGGAAUAAAAGGGGCCUUUUCUGGUUGGCCAGCAGUGACUUGUGCUCUUCAGGGGUCAGUAUUCGGACCGCUACUUUUCACAUUGUUUGUCAAUGACUUGGAUAAUGGAACUGAUGGCUUUGUGACAAGGAUUGCGGAUGAUACAAAGAUAGGUGGAGGCGAUGGUGGUGCUGAGGGUGCAAUACGAUUGCAGCAGGACACGUUUGAAGAACGGGCAAAUGGAAUACAAAACUGGGAAAUGUACAAUAAAGCAUUUUGGCAAAAGGAACAAUGGUGAACUAUCAUCUGAUUGGGGAGAAGGUUCAAACCACAGAUGUACAGAAGGAAAUGUGAUGAUGAUGAUGAUGAUGACGUAGUCGACUCAGGACUGACUCAGGGCAGCGUCGGGCAUUUUCGUGCCUUACAAGGCGCGGAUCGGAAGGUUGUGUGGGGCGCUACUCCUCACACAGACAUUUCACAGUAUCUUUCUUUAUUUGAUGAGGUCGAAUUGCGAGCUCAACACUCAAUCCGGCACGAAUGGAAAGCGUACAAGGGAGCGACUGUAUUCGAACCCAGGGACCUCCGUUACGGAGUCCGGCGCUGACGUCACUACGCCACCAGGGCCUUGGGCAAGACUCCCAGAAGAUUAGUUUACGGGUUGAGUCUAUGGUAACGAAGGCAACUGCAAUGCUGGCUUUAUUUAAAGUGAAGUAGAAUAUACUAGCAAGGAGAUAAUGCUGUUACUUUAUAAGAGACUACUCAGGCCACACGUCAGAACAUAAGAAAUGGGAGCAGGAGUCGGCCAUUGGCCCAUUGAGCCUGCCCCGCCAUUCAAUAAAAUCAUGGCUGAACUCAGCUCCAUCUACCAGCCUUUUCCCUAUAACCAUUAAUUACCUUAUUCUGCAAAAACCUAUCUAACUGUAUCUUAAAUAUACUUCGUGAGGAAACCUCAACUGCUUCCCUGGACAGAGAAUUCCACAGAUUCACCACUCUCUGGGAAAAACAGUUUCUCCUCAUCUCCGCCCUAACUCUUCUCUCCUGAAUCUUGAGGCAAUGUCCCCAAGUUCUAGUCUCAUCUACCAAUGGAAACAACUUUCCUACUUCUAUCUUAUCUAUCCCUUUCAAAAUUCUGGGUAUUUCUAUAAGAUUCCCUCUCAUUCUUCUGAACCCCAGAGAGAAAAGUCCCAGGCGACUCAAUCUCUCCUCAUAGGUUAACCCCCUCAUCCCUGGAAUCAAACUGGUUCACCUUCUCUGCAUUGCCUCCAAAGCCAGUACUGUCUAUCCUUCCUCGUGUACGGAGACCAGAACUGCACACAGUACUCCAGGUGCGGCCUCACCGGUACCCUGUAUAGUGGCAGCAUUACCUCCCUGCUCUUGAAUUCAAUCCCUCUACCAAUGAAGGGUAACAUUCUGUUAGAGUUAGAGUAUGUGGGACUUCUAUCUUAGAAAAUGUGCGUUGUCAUUGGAGAGAGUCCAGAGGAUCUUCAAGAAGAUGAUUCCGGGAAUGAAGGGGUUAAGUAUGAGAAGCGUUUGCCAGCUUUGGGCCUGUACUCCUGCACUGACUUAUGUUUAGUAAAUGUGGGUGGAGGGUGUUCAGAGGCUGCAGAAGGCUGUAAAUCUCGUCACCUCCAUCUUGGGUACUAGCCUACAAAGUAUCCAGGACAUCUUUAGGAAGCGGUAUCACAGAAAGGCAGCGUCCAUUAUAAAGGACCUUCAGCACCCAGGACAUGCCCUUUCCUCACUGUUACCAUCAGGUAGGAGAUACAGAAGCCUGAAGGCGCACACUCAGUGAUUCAGGAAAAGCUUCUUCCCCUCUGCCAUCCGAUUCCUGAAUGGACUUUGAAAGCUUUGGACACUCUUCAAUAUACAGUAUUUCUGUUUUUACACAUUUUAAUAAACUAUUCAUCACACAUAAUUGAUUUACUUGUUGAUUACUGUUUUAAUUAGUUUAUUAUUAUCUAUGCCAGAAUAUGA